rnacentral:rRNA from 1 species
UCAUGGCUCAGAUUGAACGCUGGCGGCAGGCCUAACACAUGCAAGUCGAGCGGAUGAAGGGAGCUUGCUCCUGGAUUCAGCGGCGGACGGGUGAGUAAUGCCUAGGAAUCUGCCUGGUAGUGGGGGAUAACGUCCGGAAACGGGCGCUAAUACCGCAUACGUCCUGAGGGAGAAAGUGGGGGAUCUUCGGACCUCACGCUAUCAGAUGAGCCUAGGUCGGAUUAGCUAGUUGGUGGGGUAAAGGCCUACCAAGGCGACGAUCCGUAACUGGUCUGAGAGGAUGAUCAGUCACACUGGAACUGAGACACGGUCCAGACUCCUACGGGAGGCAGCAGUGGGGAAUAUUGGACAAUGGGCGAAAGCCUGAUCCAGCCAUGCCGCGUGUGUGAAGAAGGUCUUCGGAUUGUAAAGCACUUUAAGUUGGGAGGAAGGGCAGUAAGUUAAUACCUUGCUGUUUUGACGUACCAAC